rnacentral:rRNA from 1 species
UACGGAGGUCCCAAGCGUUGUUCGGAUUCACUGGGCGUAAAGGGUGCGUAGGCGGUCGGGUAAGUCUGUCGUGAAAUCUCCGAGCCCAACUCGGAAACUGCGUCGGAUACUAUUCGGCUAGAGGAAUGGAGGGGAGACUGGAAUUCUCGGUGUAGCAGUGAAAUGCGUAGAUAUCGAGAGGAACACCAGUGGCGAAGGCGAGUCUCUGGACAUUUCCUGACGCUGAGGCACGAAAGCCAGGGGAGCAAACGGG